AAAAUAUUUAAUAAGACCUGUUAAGGUUUAGUGCAUGGUUUUGGACGGUAUUAAUGGGCCAAUAUUUUUGGGAAUCCCAAUUGAGAUUUAUUGGAUAAUUUUGAAUAGGCCACGGGCCAAAAUUUUAUUAUGAUGGAAUAAUGAUUUUUAUU